rnacentral:ncRNA from 1 species
AAGGCGGAACCGAAAAGCCUUACGAGUAGGAA